GUGGUCUAAUACUUCAUAAUAUCCAUCUCGUAUGGAUUAAAGCUUUAUGCGCUUUGGGAGGGGCCUGCGUAACAUUAGCUUGUUGGUGAGGUAAAAGCUCACCAAGGCUUCGAUGUUUAACUGGUUUGAGAGGAUGACCAGUCACACUGGGACUGAGAUACGGCCCAGACUCCUACGGGAGGCAGCAGUAAGGAAUCUUCCACAAUGGGGCAACCCUGAUGGAGCAAUACCGCGUGCAGGAUGAAGCGUUUCGGCGUGUAAACUGCUUUUAUCACCGAAGAUUAUGACUGUAGGUGAAGAAUAAGGACCGGCUAACUACGUG
rnacentral:rRNA from 1 species